UUUCCGUAGGUGAACCUACGGAAGGAUCAUUACCGAGUGAGGGUCUAUCAGGCCCGACCUCCAAUCCUGUGCUUUUGUGACCUUGUUGCUUUGGCGGGCCUGCCUCGAUGAGAGGCCGCCGGAAGCCCACCGCCUUGGGCCCGUGCCCAUCAGUAGCCCCCUUAAAUUCUUAAUAAACCUGUCGUCUGAGUUAAUGGAUAUAAUGAAAAAAAACUUUCAACAACGGAUCUCUUGGUUCUG
rnacentral:misc_RNA from 1 species